UCACGAAACACGACUCUCGGCAACGGAUAUCUCGGCUCUCGCAUCGAUGAAGAACGUAGCGAAAUGCGAUACUUGGUGUGAAUUGCAGAAUCGAGUCUUUGAACGCAAGUUGCGCUCGAAGCCAUUAGGCCGAAGGCACGUCUGCCUGGGCGUCUCGCAA
rnacentral:rRNA from 1 species